GAUACCCAUAAACAAUUUGAAUUUAUUUCUUCCCGUUUAACUCGCUACUCCUACACUAUCUUUUAUUCAUCCUAUCCAAUAACGUCUUAUUCACAAAAUGAUUAGGUAAAACAAAAUUUAAAAGAAAAAGUAUAAAACCUCGAUCGUAAUAAAUAAAAAUUUGUAGGAUAGGUAUUAUUCGGAAAGUACACUGCUGUAGCUACCGAGCUAGACAAACGAUUAUCGCAGAAGCACUUUAAAUUGAAUAGUAAUUUUACCAUAAAUAUUUAACUAUGUACCAGUAAUUGGACCAGUAACCACCUACCUAACUUUUAUUAUCGUAACGGGAACAUGAAAGAUCGAUGUAAAAAAAACCGAAAACAAUGGACAACGAUUUUUGCCCAAUUUUCAUACAUAUUAAGCAUAAUCCGUUUUUUAACAUGAAUUAUACAGUAAGUACCUACAUAUAAUAUAAAUAAGCAUAAAUAUAAUAUGCGCAUUAACAAUGGUGGUUUUUAGGGGGG